GGGCGUAAAGCGCACGCAGGCGGUUUGUUAAGCUAGAUGUGAAAGCCCCGGGCUCAACCUGGGAUGGUCAUUUAGAACUGGCAGACUAGAGUCUUGGAGAGGGGAGUGGAAUUCCAGGUGUAGCGGUGAAAUGCGUAGAUAUCUGGAGGAACAUCAGUGGCGAAGGCGACUCCCUGGCCAAAGACUGACGCUCAUGUGCGAAAGUGUGGGUAGCGAACAGGAUUAGAUACCCUGG
rnacentral:rRNA from 1 species